UCUGGUUUACUCCUGGUCGUGGUGAAUGGAUCUGUUAAUCUAUUGGUCGCUGGUUCGAAUCCAGCAUCCGGAG
rnacentral:tRNA from 1 species